UACGAAGGGGCUAGCGUUGCUCGGAAUCACUGGGCGUAAAGGGUGCGUAGGCGGGUUUUUAAGUCAGGGGUGAAAUCCUGGAGCUCAACUCCAGAACUGCCUUUGAUACUGAAAAUCUUGAGUCCGGGAGAGGUGAGUGGAACUGCGAGUGUAGAGGUGAAAUUCGUAGAUAUUCGCAAGAACACCAGUGGCGAAGGCGGCUCACUGGCCCGGUACUGACGCUGAGGCACGAAAGCGUGGGGAGCAAACAGG
rnacentral:rRNA from 1 species